rnacentral:rRNA from 1 species
AUUGAACGCUGGCGGCAGGCAUAACACAUGCAAGUCGAGCGCGAAAGUUCUUCGGAAUGAGUAAAGCGGCGGACGGGUGAGUAAUACAUGGGAAUCUGCCUGGUAGUGGGGGACAACGUUUCGAAAGGAACGCUGAUACCGCAUACGCCCUACGGGGGAAAGGGGGGGAGUCUUCGGACCUCUCGCUAUCAGAUGAGCCC